GACAGAGGUGCCGAGCGUUAGGCGGAAUCACUGGGCUUAAAGCGUGUGUAGGUGGACCUGUAAGUACCUUGUGAAAUCCCACGGCUUAACCGUGGAACUGCUCGGUAUACUGCGGGUCUUGAGGUGCCUAGGGGCGAGCGGAACAAAUGGUGGAGCGGUGAAAUGCGUAGAUAUCAUUUGGAACGCCAAUGGUGAAAACAGCUCGCUGGGGGCAUCCUGACACUGGAGAGCACGAAAGCCAGGGGAGCAAACGGG
rnacentral:rRNA from 1 species